rnacentral:rRNA from 1 species
CAGCAGCCGCGGGAAUACGUAGGUGGCAAGCGUUGUCCGGAAUUAUUGGGCGUAAAGGGCUCGCAGGCGGUUUCUUAAGUCUGAUGUGAAAGCCCCCGGCUCAACCGGGGAGGGUCAUUGGAAACUGGGAAACUUGAGUGCAGAAGAGGAGAGUGGAAUUCCACGUGUAGCGGUGAAAUGCGUAGAGAUGUGGAGGAACACCAGUGGCGAAGGCGACUCUCUGGUCUGUAACUGACGCUGAGGAGCGAAAGCGUGGGGAGCAAACAGGAUUAGAUACCCCAGUAGUCCCUGUCUCUUAUAC